GAGUUUGAUCCUGGCUCAGGACGAACGCUGGCGGCGUGCUUAACACAUGCAAGUCGAGCGAUGAAGCUUCCUUCGGGAAGUGGAUUAGCGGCGGACGGGUGAGUAACACGUGGGUAACCUGCCUCAAAGAGGGGAAUAGCCCUCCGAAAGGAGGAUUAAUACCGCAUAAAGUUAGAGUUUCGCAUGAAACUUUAACCAAAGGAGUAAUCUGCUUUGAGAUGGGCCCGCGUCCCAUUAGCUAGUUGGUAAGGUAAUGGCUUACCAAGGCAACGAUGGGUAGCCGACCUGAGAGGGUGAUCGGCCACAUUGGAACUGAGACACGGUCCAGACUCCUACGGGAGGCAGCAGUGGGGAAUAUUGCGCAAUGGGGGAAACCCUGACGCAGCAACGCCGCGUGGGUGAUGAAGGUUUUCGGAUCGUAAAACCCUGUUUUCUGGGACGAUAAUGACGGUACCAGAUGAGGAAGCCACGGCUAACUACGUGCCAGCAGCCGCGGUAAUAC
rnacentral:rRNA from 1 species